CCCUUAGAUGUCCGGGGCAGCACGCGCGCUACAAUGGUCUUCGCAAACGGAUGCAUUCUCGAAGGAGAAUGCCAAUCUUGGAAUCUAUGCCUUGGUCGGGACAGUUGCUUGCAAUUUUUCGACUCGAACCAGGAAUUCCUUGUAAUCGUGAUUCAUCACAUCACGAUGAAUACGUCCCUGCCCUUUGUACACACCGCCCGUCGCUCCUACCGAUCGAAGAGUUAGGUGAAUUGUUUUGAUCGAUAAGAUUUGACUAUGGUCAACUCUCGUUGUGAAAUUCUGUGAAUCUGACUGUUUAGAGGAAGGAAAAGUCGUAACA
rnacentral:rRNA from 1 species